AAGACGCCGGGAAUCGGCCGGCAACCUUCUGAAAAAGAAAGUCCGGGAUCCCGCGAGCCAAUCGGAUCGUAAAGUGGGCGGCGCUUCCGCUUUCAGGCAGACCAAAAAUAGAUGAAAACUUAAGCAACCAAGACAAGAAAACUUGAGGAUGGAGAAGGCCAUUCAGGCUUUUAAUGCUAAUUUCCCUGAUUCCUGCCUCUUGUCAUGACAUUUAGCUGUAAACAAUCAAGGUAUUAAUGAAGUUCUAAACAAAUAACUCAGUGAAUCAUUUAGUAUUACCUUGGAUAUCACCAACAACUACAAUGGGACAAUGGCAUGAAAUGGAGUCUGAAGAAAGGUCCCGACCUGAAACAUCACUUAUCUAUGUUAUCCAAAGAUGCUGCCUGACCCAUUGAAUUACUAGCACUUUGUGUUCUUUGAUGAAAUGCUAAAGUUGUCUUGAGAAAGUUCACAGUUUCCAAUACACUUUGGAUGGCAGUGGAAUCGUGGUGUGUGGGUAACCUACACCUGUUUGAAAGGAUGCAGUAAGCACUUGAAAUGUGUGCACAUGCUUCAUUAUUAUGAUUGCAGUAACAAGCCUGAACUAACCUUGGGGCAUGAAUCAGCUGCCUCCCUUUGACACAGUGAUGCAUCUGGUCGAGCUGAUAUCUUAACUCCAAAGCUGUUGGUUCAAUGUUUUUUGUCGGAAAUUUGCACAUUCCCUCGAUGAAAGCAUGACUUUUGUCUGGGUGCUCUGGUUUCCACCUACUUUCCAAAAACAUGCAAGCAGUGUGUAGAUGAGUGGCAGAAUCUGGGAAGAGUUAAUGGAGUGAGACAAAUACAUGGAAUUAGGGUUAGAAUGAGUAAGAGCUUGAUGCUCAGCGCUGGGCAGAGGACCUGUCACUGAAUUGCAUGUCUCUAUAACUCUCAGGAUGACAGCAUUUGUGGUCCUACCACCACAAUUCUACCCAGACCCUUCCUGUUGCCUGUAAGCUAAUUAGCCCCGGCAACUGAUACUUACUGCAAAAUGAUGCUCAAAUGUGCCUCAAGUGUGCUGUUGCAGUCAUUGAUAUUUAGUAUCUGGUCUAGUUAUAUUUCUGGUUAAUAGCAGCCCCAUUAUGUUGAUGAUGGGGAUUUUCCAAUGGUAAUGCCACAAGUGUAAAGAAGAAGUAGUUAAUUAAGACACAAAAUACUGGAAAUAAUCAACAGGUCAGGCCAUAUGUUUGGGAAGAGAAACAGACCUAUUGUUUCUGGUUGAAGAUCCUUCAUCACUUUCAGGUGGUUGGAUUAUUUAUUGUUAGAGAUAAAAGUAAUUUGUCACUUAUCACCCAAACCGUACAUGGUCCAGGUCAUUCUGCCUCCUGGCACCGUCUCUCUUUUUCUGUGAGUCACAUUUGAUAUUAAUUGGCUCAAAGUGAGCAUACCAUAUCCUUAAUGCACAUCCAGGGAAGGCCUUUCAUUAUCACCUCCUCCCUUGAUUGUCCAUCUGUGCUUCCUGCUCCUCCUCUUCACAGUGUGGUUUCAUGGCCAAUGUCUCAGUCUGUAUGUAGACAGAAUUAUGCAGGACCCUCCAGGUGAUGAUGAAGUGUGACACAUGCCCUGGAGUGCAUCUCUAGACCAUUCCAGACAUUAAUAACUUUACUUUUCUCCAUAAUGCUGGAAAUAGCUCCAGGUUCUGAUGAAAACAUGAUUGGCUGUGAAGACUGGAAGUGUAACAAGUCUGGAGACAGGCAUUCAGAGAGUAGCCUUUCACCCUCUUGAGCUACAAGUUGGUCUGAUACAAUGCUGUUUUCAGUUUUCAGAGUAGACAACUGAAAACUUUUCCUUGAGUAGAAAACCUUUGAAGCAUCUAAAAUGGAGCAGGAGAUGGCUGAUAAAAAGAGUCAGAAGCAAAGGAAAUGGCCACAAUGUCUUUCAUUGGCAUAGACAACCAGUAGUAUAUCUCAGUGACUCACCAGAUAAUAGAUUGACUCUCCACCCGACUCUGCUCGCUCCUUUGGUCAGAAAGGACUUUCUUGGGUCUCGGAUUUCUUACAUUAUUUGAGUAAAGCAACACAGUUCAGUUCCUACUCAUCCACUAACGAAUUUGCAAAUGAUUAAGGAUGCUUUAAAAUAGUGUUGAUAGGAGAGGACGGGUGGUCGUUGCUUUUCUUCCUGGAUGCCUGGAAUCCAAUUUGUACAAAUGUAAUGGAAAUUCUGAGCAAACAAAAAUCACCAUUGCAAUUAUAAUUCCUAAGCAUUACUUUCAAAAGCUUUUAAUCCUUGAUGGGAAUUGUGCUGUAUGAGAUGUUUAUUGCUUUAAGUUUCAAGAGAGCAUUCUAAAUGCGGCAGCUGACACUGCUCACUCCUCUGGUCAUGUCUGUUCAUUGCAUCAGAAAUUCAUAAUUAUUACUGAUCAUUUUUGUAAAAUGAAAAUACAGUGUCCUCCAUAAUGUUUGGGACAAAGACCCAUCAUUUAUUUAUUUGCCUCUGUACUCCACAAUUUGAGAUUUGUA